CCAAUAGCGUAUAUUAAAGUUGUUGCAGUUAAAAAGCUCGUAGUUGAAUUUCGGGAUCAGUUGGUCGGUCGUGCCUCGGUACGUACUGGUCAAAUUGAUUCCUACCUUCUGACGAACCACGAUGUCAUUAAUUUGGUGUCGCGGGGAAUCAGGACUGUUACUUUAAAAAAUUAGAGUGUUUAAAGCAGGCUCGCGCUUGA
rnacentral:rRNA from 1 species